GUUUUAGUGUGGGUAUGUCCCAUGCAACAUUUGGGAUGUACUUAUACUAAAA
rnacentral:pre_miRNA from 1 species